AGAGCCAGAGCAGAAGAUGGGCAGAGUCUGCAUGUGGCUGCAGGACCUCUGUCAGAGAAUGAAACACUCAUCGCAUGAAUUGACAAAGAGUAAAGGAGAAUUUGCUGAAAUACUUAUUUAAAGUCUAGUACUAAGCUGUCGGGUACCAUAGUCACUAGCUACACAUUGCUACUGAGCACCUGAAACAUGGCUAUUCUGAAUUGAGAUGUGCUGUAAGUAUAAAAAAUUCUGAAUUUGAAGUCUUAGUUUAAAAAAUGUAAAAUAUAUCAUUAAUACAUUUUAUAUUAAUUGCAUGUUGAAAUGACAAUAUUUUAAAUAAAUUAUAUUAUUAAAAUUACAUUUUUUUAAUGUAGUGACUUGAAAAUUUAAAAUUACAUAUGUGGCUUGAGUUAUAUUUCUGUAGGACAGCAUUGGUCUAUUGUAUGCCAUAAUUUAGUUACUUUUACUAUAAAAAGAUUGCGAGAGAGCCGGGCGCAGUGGCUCAUGCCCGUAAUCCCAGCACUUUGGGAGGCCCAGGCCAGAUCACGAGGUUAAGAGUUCAAGAGCAGCCUGGCCAACAUGAUGAA
rnacentral:lncRNA from 1 species